ACAACGGAGAGUUUGAUCCUGGCUCAGGAUGAACGCUGGCGGCGUGCUUAACACAUGCAAGUCGAACGAACCUUCGGGUUAGUGGCGGACGGGUGAGUAACGCGUGGGAAUCUGCCCUCAGGAGGGGGAUAACGGUUGGAAACGGCCGCUAAUACCCCAUAUGCCGAGAGGUGAAAUGAAUUUCGCCUGAGGAUGAGCCCGCGUCUGAUUAGCUAGUUGGUGAGGUAAGAGCUCACCAAGGCAUCGAUCAGUAGCUGGUCUGAGAGGAUGAUCAGCCACACUGGGACUGAGACACGGCCCAGACUCCUACGGGAGGCAGCAGUGGGGAAUUUUCCGCAAUGGGCGAAAGCCUGACGGAGCAACGCCGCGUGAGGGAUGAAGGCCUCUGGGCUGUAAACCUCUUUUAUCAAGGAAGAAGAUCUGACGGUACUUGAUGAAUAAGCCACGGCUAAUUCCGUGCCAGCAGCCGCGGUAAUACGGGAGUGGCAAGCGUUAUCCGGAAUUAUUGGGCGUAAAGCGUCCGCAGGCGGCCCUACAAGUCUGCUGUUAAAAAGUGGAGCUUAACUCCAUCAUGGCAGUGGAAACUGUUGGGCUUGAGUGUGGUAGGGGCAGAGGGAAUUCCCGGUGUAGCGGUGAAAUGCGUAGAUAUCGGGAAGAACACCAGUGGCGAAGGCGCUCUGCUGGGCCAUCACUGACGCUCAUGGACGAAAGCCAGGGGAGCGAAAGGGAUUAGAUACCCCUGUAGUCCUGGCCGUAAACGAUGAACACUAGGUGUCGGGGGAAUCGACCCCUCCGGUGUCGUAGCCAACGCGUUAAGUGUUCCGCCUGGGGAGUACGCACGCAAGUGUGAAACUCAAAGGAAUUGACGGGGGCCCGCACAAGCGGUGGAGUAUGUGGUUUAAUUCGAUGCAACGCGAAGAACCUUACCAGGGUUUGACAUCCUGCGAAUCUCUUGGAAACUUGAGAGUGCCUUCGGGAGCGCAGUGACAGGUGGUGCAUGGCUGUCGUCAGCUCGUGUCGUGAGAUGUUGGGUUAAGUCCCGCAACGAGCGCAACCCACGUCUUUAGUUGCCAGCAUUUAGUUGGGCACUCUAGAGAGACCGCCGGUGAUAAACCGGAGGAAGGUGUGGAUGACGUCAAGUCAUCAUGCCCCUUACAUCCUGGGCUACACACGUACUACAAUGCUACGGACAAAGGGCAGCAAGUUCGCGAGGACAAGCAAAUCCCAUAAACCGUAGCUCAGUUCAGAUCGUAGGCUGCAACUCGCCUACGUGAAGGAGGAAUCGCUAGUAAUCGCAGGUCAGCAUACUGCGGUGAAUACGUUCCCGGGCCUUGUACACACCGCCCGUCACACCAUGGAAGUUGGCCACGCCCGAAGCCGUUACUCCAACCCUUGUGGAGGAGGACGUCGAAGGUGGGGCUGAUGACUGGGGUGAAGUCGUAACAAGGUAGCCGUACCGGAAGGUGCGGCUGGAUCACCUCCUAA
rnacentral:rRNA from 1 species